CAAAAACAUGUCUUUUUGAGUUAUUUUUAAAGUNUAACCUGCCCAAUGAAAAAAUUUUUAAUGGCCGCAGUAAUUUGACUGUGCAAAGGUAGCAUAAUAAUUAGUCUUUUAAUUGAAGGCUUGUAUGAAUGGUUGGACGAAGUAUAAUCUGUUUCAUUUAAAUUUAUUAUAGAAUUUUAUAUUUUAGUAAAAAAGCUAAAAUUUUUUUAAAAGACGAGAAGACCCUAUAAAUCUUUAUAAUUUAUUUUUAUUUUUAUUUUUUUGAUUUAUUUUAUUUUAAUAAUUUAAAUUAUUUUAUUGGGGUGAUAUUAAAAUUUAAAUAACUUUUAAUUUUUUUUUACAUUAAUUUAUGAUUUAUUGAUCCAUUAAUAAUGAUUAUAAGAAUAAGUUACUUUAGGGAUAACAGCGUAAUUUUUUUGGAGAGUUCUUAUUGAUAAAAAAGUUUGCGACCUCGAUGUUGGAUUAAGAAUAAUUUUAGGUGUAGUUGCUUAAAUAAUAAGUCUGUUCGACUUUUAAAUUCUUACAUGAUCUGAGUCC
rnacentral:rRNA from 1 species